CUUGUUUACACAGCCCAGAGAUGGUGACUGGACAAACAGUUCAUUUCCCUUGAAACGGGACCAAACUGGGAGGAGCCUGUCACAUGGGACAGAGGAGGACUAGGAAGAACUCUCAUGAGAAAGUGCCCCCAGAUCAAAGCCAAGGACCAGCAAGCCAAGCAAAGAUGGGUUCCAGCGGCUGGCUUCUCACAGGCAGCUUCGGGUCUACCGCUUUCUGCACCCUGCCCACCCACUCCCAGCAGAACUGGAACCCCUCUCCCUGAGGACAGGACAUUUUGAACCAUUCACGUAAAAGUCUCAACCACGGAGCGUCAGCACCAACCCACCCUUCAGGCGUUGGCAGCAAGGACAACUGUGUUCAGACUGUGGAAAUCAAUAAUGGCUUGCACCCAUCAGUGUCCUGGAAGUAGGAUUGAGAGAGAAGAUUCUCUUGAGAACCGAUUCUCUAGCCUCAGCUCACGACUUUUUCAAGGCUCAGUUUCUCAAUAAAUGGAAAAGCAAAUUCUCAUUAUUCUCCCAAUCUGUUUGAAAGCAGAGCUGGGGUGUUACAGUGAUUAACAGUUAUCAAGGCCCAUUAAAGUUGUUAAUUAUAGUGGCGUUCACUAUCUUUUUCCAUCAUUUUUAGCUAUUGAGACAGGGUCUUUGUGGAUCCCAAGGAUCAUGUGUUUGCAGUUCAAUUCAGCAGCCACUAGGUGGUAAUAUUGUUGAUUUUGGUAGCCAUGAAGUGUGAUCUAUCAGACCUGCCCUCUUAAAUGGAAUUAUGUACAUCCCUUAUAUCAUCAAGAUGUAAUUAUAGAAAUAAUUAUACUUUAAAAUAUGUAAAAUAUUUUAAUUGUGAAAAAUAUAAUCCCUUAUAAAAGUUCCAUGCAUAUCUGGUACCUUUUAAACUUAUGCUAAUUCUACUUACCUUUUAUUCUAAUUAUACACAUGACUAUCUUCAAAUUAUACAUAUAACAAAAAUAAAGUGUCUGGUCUUAACAGAAAUCCAGCUUAUAUUCAUUGCUUCUGGCUUAUUUUUAGAAGAGAUGAAAAAGAUGCACAUAACUUUCCUUCUAAAAUUAUGGCCGUCCUCUGUAGUAAAUAAUUAUUUGCCACUUGAACUUGGAACCACUGCUAUUCGCACCAUUGGGGUCCUGGGACUCAAAAGAAACCAAGUGGUUCUCUAAGUUAGUAGGAUGGCACAGUAACAACGCUGGGAUUGAGCUCACCCUGACCCUGAGUAAGUUACCAAGACCCUCAGACUCAGUUUUCUUAUCUGGAAAGUUAGGAAUGAAAAAAAUCAGUUUCAAAGGAUUGCUGCAAAAUUAAAUGAAGUGCUAUGCACCUGUUGAAGUCAAGUAUAGCAUGCUCCCCAAUCACCCCCCAACACACACACCAGAACUAACAAUUCAGGAAGGAAAUUUUCAGUAUAUUGGUGUUUCUCACAGAGGGUCAAAGUGGGACAAUAAGAAUGCCUUAAAUGUAACACAUUGUAUUUAUUAAAGCUUUAUAGUUUAUAUGGUGGUUUCCCAUGUAUGUUAUCUAAUUUCAUCUUCAUAAUGACACUGUGUACUAGAUAUUACUAUUCCCAUUUUACAGACAAGAAAAAAAAAAAGGCCCCAAGAACUUAAAAUCCUUUGCAAAAUCACAUAGAAAGGUUAAGUGGUGAACCCAGUGUUCAAACCUAGGUCUUCUGACUUCAAGCACAAAGCUCUCUCACUACAUUCAGAUCACUUAAAAACACAACAUUUUAUUGUGCCUAUCGUUAAUAAGACUGUAUUGCACACUUAAGAAUUUGUUAAAGAGGGUAGAAUUCAUGCUAAGUAUUCUUACUAAAAUAAUAAAAGUUGUAUGUAUGUAGAAAAAAGUAUUGCUUAAUCUAAUUAAACUAAACAGCUUCUGCACAACAAAAGAAACUAGCAUCAGAGUGAACAGGCAACCUACAGAAUGGGAGAAAAUUUUUGCAAUCUACCCAUAUGACAAAGGCCUAGUAUCCAGAAUCUAUAAGGAACUUAAAUUUACAAGAAACAACCCCAUCAAAAAGUGGGCAAAGGAGAUGAACAAACACUUCUCAAGACAUUUAUGCGGCCAACAAACAUGAAAAAAAGUUCAACAUCACUGAUCAUUAGAGAAAUGCAAAUCAAAACCACAAUGAGAUACCAUCUCCCACCAGUCAGAAUGGCGAUUAAAAAGUCAAGAAACAAUAGAUGCUGGUGAGGCUGCAGAGAAACAGGAAUGCUUUUACACUGUUGGUGGGAAUGUAAAUUAGUUCAACCAUUGUGGAAGACAGUGUGGCGAUUCCUCAAGGAUCUAGAACCAUAAAUGCCAUUUGACCCAGCAAUCCCAUUACUGGUAUAUACCCAAAGGAUUAUAAAUCAUUCUGCUAUAGAGAUGCAUGCACACGUAUGUUUAUUGCAGCACUAUUUACGAUAGCAAAGACUUGGAACCAACCCAAAUGCCCAUUGAUGAUAGACUGGAUAAAGAAAAUGUGGUACAUAUAUACCAUGGAAUACUAUGCAACCAUAAAAAAGGAUGAGUUCAUGUCCUCCUAGUUUUUCCAAAACAAACUAAUGAAAUGUGAAAAGGGUGAAUUCACAAGGGGCUAUACAUAGAAAGAAAGAGCCUGACUGACUUGGCUCCAUCCUCUACUUCUACCUGGGGACAUUUCCAAUCAUCAGAAAGAGGUUAAUGCAAUUGCAGCUCCAGAGUCUCAUCAAACUAUCUUGGAUUCUGCCAUGAUGAAAGGGAAAUGAGGAGAUUACCCAAUAACACCAUCAUGAGGUUGUCCUUAGUAAUACUUCAAUUCUUACAUGGUUGAGGGCCUACUCAAAGUUGUAAAAAUCAGUUUAAGGUAUAGUCCCCUGUUCUACCAAAGCAAGCAAAUAAACUGGUUCCAUAACGUUGAAAAGAUGUAGGGGUGUGUGUGUGUGUAUGUGUGUGUGUGUGUGUAAAUAUCUGCUGCUGCUCUAGGAAAGACCCUGUAAGAGUUAAUGAUACUUAUCUGACAAAUAAUAUCUUACCUCCAAACCCAACCACUACCAUCUCUCUUCCACUAGCAUGUAGUUCUGAGACAGUGUUUAAAAACAGAAGACAAGGCUGGGCGUGGUGGCUCGUGCCUGUAAUCCCAGCACUUUGGGAGGCUGGGGUGGGUGGAUCACUUGAGGUCAGGAGUUCCAGAAAAACAGGAGACAAACUCUUUAAAAAACUAAGAGUUAAGGCCGGGCGUGGUGGCUCAUGCCUGUAAUCCCAGCACUCUAGGAGGCCGAGGUGGGCGGAUCACAAGGUCAGGAGAUCGAGACCAUCCUGGCUAACGCAGUGAAACCCCGUCUCUACUAAAAAUUACAAAAACUUAGCCAGGCGUAGUGGCGGGCACCUGUAGUCCCAGCUACUCGGGAGGCUAAGGCAGAAGAAUGGCAUGAACCUGGGAGGCGGAGCGUGCAGUGAGCUGAGAUCGCGCCACUGCACUCCAGCCUGGGUGACAAAGCGAGACUCCAUCUCAAAAAAACAAACAAACAAAAAAAUUAGAGUUAAGGCCUAAAAUGCAAAUACCCACGGAAGAGGUCAGAUCCUGACAAUGAUCUCAAGAUAUAAAUGACUGAGAUUUGGUUCUAUGUUUGUGAUUAGGUUUAAAGGAUGGUCUGUGUCGGGGUAAUCUGAGAGAAGAUCUUUACUCUCUCAUUUUGGCAUAUUCAUAAAAGUGUACAUUGAAGCACCUGUGUAAUGAAGAGCCCAAAUGAAAUAAAGAACAGGAUUAUGGCAAUAAGAAAAAAAAUAUGAGGAACAGGUAAAACACCCUACAUAUUAGAGGCCUCUUCUUGACCAUAAUGUAAAUUAGGGUUCAUGUUACAUACCUAAUAAUAACAUCACAAAAGUGUGACGCCUGAAACUGAAGUGAUGAUGGAAGCAUGAGCAAAAUAAGUGAAGUCAAUCCAAGUCAAGGAGAAAGAACGGAGGGGUUCCAGCAGGUUCAUGUGUGUGCACGUGUGUGUGCGUGCACACGUGUGUGUGUAUUAGACUGUCUUGAGCUCUCAAUGCCUUUAAACAUUUCCUUGCAUUUUCUCAUUGACUGGGAGGCUUCCAUUAGAUAGAGCCAUCUAGAGCGAUGUUGAAGAAGGCAGCCAUAGGAAACAAACCAAGGUACUAGCUCAUAGAUCUUGCUUGAUAAGGGACCUUCAGAUUUCCUUUUAAGUUGUCCAGUUCAGCACCCAAUGAAAGUAAUGAGACUGUGAGUAAGACCAUUUGGUUUCCAAUUCUAGGUUCAGGUGGCUAAGGGACCCCAGUUGGUAUAAUGAUGGAGAAGCAAUGAAUAGGAAGCAGAAUCUUAGGGAAAAAUGUGAAGUGCGAAGUACUAUAGAAAAUUGUUUUUCAAAAAAAAUUUGUUUACUAUUUUAAGAGGUACUCACUGGUUAAAACACCCAAAUUUAUAACAAAUCUGCAUACGCCUAUGAACCUCAUCUGCCUAUUUUCUACCUGCUGCAGCAAUGAACCUGUUUGAUUAGUUUUAGGAGUAAUAGUCUAAAUAUUUAACAAUAACAUAGGUACUAACUAGCAGAACAGGCAACCUGUAUGGGUGUUAUGGUGAGGACCAGCUGAAUAUCAGUCUUGGGUUAGUUCUCUUUUGUUUUUUUUUUUUUUUUUUUUUUCAGAGACAGAGUCUCACUCUGUCACCCAUGCUGGAGUGCAGUGGCGCAAUCUCGGCUCACUGCAAGCUCUGCCUCCCGGGUUCAUGCCAUUCUCCUGCCUCAGCCUGUUGAGUAGCUGGGACUACAGGCGCUUGUCACCACGCUCAGCUAAUUUUUUUUUUUUUUGUAUUUUUAGUAGACACGGGGUUUCAUCGUGUUAGCCAGGAUGGUCUCGGUCUCCUGACCUCGUGAUCUGCCCGCCUCGGCCUCCCAAAGUGCUGUGAUUAUAGGCGUGAGCCACCGCGCCCGGCCAGUCUUAGGUUAAUUCUUAUUUGUUCUCACUGUUAGGUAGUAUUCAUUUUUUGCUUCAUUUUUAUCUGAAUGAUAAAAUAAUAUACCUAAUAAUAACAUAACUACUCUUCUGACCCUUGCUUUUAUCCACUUAAACAUAUACAUUAGGGAUCCUCCAGGUCAAUACAUACAGACUUUUUUUUUAAAAAAGAUGCUUAGUAUUCCAAUGUAUGGAAAUACCAUAAUUUCACAACUCCAUUACUGGAUAGUCAUUAGAAACCGACUUCGGGGGAAAACAUACGCUCUUUGCAGGAAUUUCUGGGAAAAAAAAUCCCCUCUAGCCCUUUUAGAUAAAAGCCUACCUAAUAGACCUGUGAUAAAAUAGCUUUCUUUUCUUUAUUUUUUUUUUGGAGGAGUCUCACUGUGGCCCAGGCUGCAGUGCAGUGGUAUGAUCUCAGCUCACUGCAACCUUUGCUUCCUGGGUUCAAGCGAUUCUCCUGUCUCAGCCUCCAGAGCAGCUGGGAUUACAGGCGCACACCACCAUGUCCGGCUAAUUUUUGUAUUUUUAGUAGAGAUGGGGUUUCGCCAUGUUGGC
rnacentral:lncRNA from 10 species